rnacentral:misc_RNA from 1 species
GAUGAAGAACGCAGCGAAAUGCGAUAAGUAAUGUGAAUUGCAGAAUUCAGUGAAUCAUCGAAUCUUUGAACGCACAUUGCGCCCGCCAGUAUUCUGGCGGGCAUGCCUGUUCGAGCGUCAUUACAACCCUCAGGCCCCCGGGCCUGGCGUUGGGGAUCGGCGGAAGCCCCCUGCGGGCACAACGCCGUCCCCCAAAUACAGUGGCGGUCCCGCCGCAGCUUCAUUGCGUAGUAGCUAACACCUCGCAACUGGAGAGCGGCGCGGCCACGCCGUAAAACACCCAACUUCUGAAUGUUGACCUCGAAUCAGGUAGGAAUACCCGCUGAACUUAAGCAUAUCAAUAAGCGGAGGA